AUGUGGGCACCUGAUAUCUAUGAGGGUUCACCCACCCCGGUGACAGCAUUCCUUUCUAUUGCGCCUAAAAUCUCUAUUUCUGCAAAUAUGUCACGUGUUUCUAUUGUUGCUUCCUAUGGGGGUACAUUACAACAAAUCUUCUUUUUCUGCAGCAUUGCUUCUAUGAUCUUAGGAGCACUGGCCGCCAUGGCCCAAACGAAAGUCAAAAGACCUCUAGCUCAUAGUUCAAUUGGACAUGUAGGUUAUAUUCGUACUGGUUUCUCAUGUGGAACCAUAGAAGGAAUUCAAUCACUACUAAUUGGUAUAUUUAUUUAUGCAUCAAUGACGAUAGAUGCAUUCGCCAUAGUUCCAGCAUUACGGCAAACCCGUGUCAAAUAUAUAGCGGAUUUGGUCGCUCUAGCCAAAAUGAAUCCUAUUUCGGCUAUGACCUUCUCCAUUACAAUGUUCUCAUACGCAGGAAUACCCCCGUUAGCCGGCUUUUGUAGCAAAUUCUAUUUGUUCUUCGCCGCUUUGGGUUGUGGGGCUUACUUCCUAGCCCCAGUGGGAGUAGUGACUAGCGUUAUAGGUCGUUGGGCUGCCGGAAGGUUGCCAUGA
rnacentral:rRNA from 1 species